AGAGUUUGAUCCUGGCUCAGAGUGAACGCUGGCGGCGUGCCUAAUACAUGCAAGUCGAACGAUGAAGUCCUAGCUUGCUAGGAUGGAUUAGUGGCGCACGGGUGAGUAAUAUAUAGUUAAUCUGCCCUACACAGAGGAACAACAGUUGGAAACGGCUGCUAAUACCUCAUACUCCUAUUUGACAUAAGUUAAAUAGGGAAAGUCUUUUCGGUGUAGGAUGAGACUAUAUCGUAUCAGCUAGUUGGUAAGGUAAUGGCUUACCAAGGCUAUGACGCGUAACUGGUCUGAGAGGAUGAUCAGUCACAUUGGAACUGAGACACGGUCCAAACUCCUACGGGAGGCAGCAGUAAGGAAUAUUGCGCAAUGGGGGAAACCCUGACGCAGCAACGCCGCGUGGAGGAUGACACUUUUCGGAGCGUAAACUCCUUUUAUCAGGAAAGAAUAAUGACGGUACCUGAUGAAUAAGCACCGGCUAACUCCGUGCCAGCAGCCGCGGUAAUACGGGGGGUGCAAGCGUUACUCGGAAUCACUGGGCGUAAAGGACGCGUAGGCGGAUUAUCAAGUCUUUUGUGAAAUCUAGUGGCUUAACCACUAAACUGCUUAGGAAACUGAUAGUCUAGAGUAGGGGAGAGGUAGAUGGAAUUCUUGGUGUAGGGGUAAAAUCCGUAGAGAUCAAGAAGAAUACCCAUUGCGAAAGCGAUCUGCUGGAACCUAACUGACGCUGAGGCGUGAAAGCGUGGGUAGCAAACAGGAUUAGAUACCCUGGUAGUCCACGCCCUAAACGAUGUAUACUAGUUGUUGCUUUGCUAGUCAAGGCAGUAAUGCAGCUAACGCAUUAAGUAUACCGCCUGGGGAGUACGGUCGCAAGAUUAAAACUCAAAGGAAUAGACGGGGACCCGCACAAGCGGUGGAGCAUGUGGUUUAAUUCGAAGAUACGCGAAGAACCUUACCUGGACUUGACAUCCUAAAAACAUCUAAGAGAUUAGAAAGUGCUAGUUUACUAGAAUUUAGUGACAGGUGCUGCACGGCUGUCGUCAGCUCGUGUCGUGAGAUGUUGGGUUAAGUCCCGCAACGAGCGCAACCC
rnacentral:rRNA from 1 species